UGAGUAAAACUGAAUCCCUGCCCUCAAGGAGCUCAGCCUAGUUGGGUAGAUCGACGCUUACAAUGUGGUGUGCCGGAGGCUAGGA
rnacentral:miRNA from 1 species